GCCUCUUAAUUCCCCCUCUCCCAAUUCUCUCUCAAACCCUACCCACUGCCUUUAAUGACCACCCCAAAAUUGACAAAAUCCAUGGCCUCCAGAGCCAUUGAAGGCCUAUACCUGCCUCAUGUGACUCCUACAUGCUCGAUUAUCAUAGUUUCAAGGCCAGACCUUGAAGAAACUUGGUCCAGACCACGGAUGCUUUCAGUUCUAUGGUUGUUUUCGAUCAUCAUCGACCUUGCUCCGGCCAGCCAUGGCUAUUCAUGCCUGACUCUUGGCUACUCCUGCUUAGACUAAUGACUUUCCAAGUUGUUCUCACCGUCUGGGUUCUUCUGAAACCCUAACCUCCGAGAUUCAUCAAAUUCUUUUAGAUCCAUUUCAAAUCUGUGCUUACUCUAAAGUCCUAAAUAUUAUCUCAAGAUUUCUUUCAAAACUUUACCUUCAGAGCCUUUCUUUUUUCAGAUUUGGGGUUUGUUAAAUUAUUUCAAAGAUUUUUUUAUUUAUA
rnacentral:lncRNA from 1 species